CCGUGCUUGAGGAGCAGUUUGAUGAGAGGGAUGUUCCCACUCAUGGCAGCCUGGUGCAGGGGGGUGUUCCCUCGGUCGUUGGCAGCAUUUACAUCACAGCCUGCAUCUAUGAGGAUCCGCACGAGGGACAGGUCAGUCUGGUGGGAACAGGUACAUCCGUA